rnacentral:misc_RNA from 1 species
AAGUCGUAACAAGGUUUCCGUAGGUGAACCUGCGGAAGGAUCAUUACAAUACGUUACUUCACGUAUCAACCCAACUGUUGAACUGUUUUAAAGCGUCCGAUAGGAAAGAGAUGGGUUAUGAGGAAUCGAUGGCUUUGGAAGCUACGCGCUUCGGUCGGUUUCUUUUUUCUGGUUCUUUGUGACCGGAAGCCCUUUUUUCCUAGUUCGCGUAGUUUAUUCAAUCAUUUUUUUUACCCCUUUCACCAAACUAUUAUUUUAAACAACUGUUGAACUUAUGUGAUUGCUGAAAAGCGAUCUCUUUAUUUCUUUACGAAACGUAAGAACAACUCUUAACAACGGAUAUCUUGGCUCUC